UCCGGGCGGACGCCGAGUCCUGCCGCCGCCCGGAUGACUGGUCGACAGGAGUGGAUCGGCAGGAGUGGAGGACCCGAGCACUACGGGACCGCCGGAUCUCCGGUUGUCCCUCGGGGUGAAGCCGCCUCGCGCGGCCGGGCAACUUCGCCAGCCCGAACCCGACAGGUCAUCCUUCACAGGCGGCUGACGAAGGGUUG
rnacentral:sRNA from 2 species